rnacentral:misc_RNA from 1 species
GACAAACGGCUCGUCUGAAAUGCCUGAGUGUACCCUGCUUUGCGGCGUAUUCGGUGUGAUACAUCUUCACCGGAGUCUCGACUCUUUUGGGUCGGCGCCUGCACGAGUCUGGCUCUAUGCUUUCCAACCGUCCCUUACAAGGACAAAAUAUACUCUGACAAUUUGACCUCAAAUCGGGUGGGACUACCCGCUGAACUUAA